rnacentral:tRNA from 1 species
UCCCUGGCAGUCCAGUGGUUAAGACACUGCUCUUACACUGCAGGGGCACAGGUUCAACCCUUGGUCGGGGAA